GACGAACGCUGGCGGCGUGCUUAACACAUGCAAGUCGAACGAUGAAGCCGGAGCUUGCUCUGGUGAAUUAGUGGCGAACGGGUGAGUAACACGUGAGUAACCUGCCCUUGACUCUGGGAUAACUGCGGGAAACUGUAGCUAAUACCGGAUACGACCCUCGGAGGCAUCUCCUGGGGGUGGAAAGAAUUUCGGUCAAGGAUGGACUCGCGGCCUAUCAGCUAGUUGGUGAGGUAAAGGCUCACCAAGGCGACGACGGGUAGCCGGCCUGAGAGGGUGACAGGCCACAGUGGGACUGAGACACGGCCCAGACUCCGACGGGAGGCAGCAGUGGGGAAUAUUGCACAAUGGGCGCAAGCCUGGUGCAGCAACGCCGCGUGAGGGAUGAUGGCCUUCGGGUUGUAAACCUCUUUUAGCAGGGAAGAAGCGAAAGUGACGGUACCUGCAGAAAAAGCACCGGCUAACUACGUGCCAGCCGCCGCGGUAA
rnacentral:rRNA from 1 species